AUUGGAAUCAUCUGACCCUUGCUUAAAGCAAGGAAAAGAAGAAGAAAUGGAAUUUUAGGCAGAGGUUAGAGUAGGAAGAAUCUAGGCUCCCGAAAGCUAUCACUGGAGGUUCUGGAAUUUGCAAGCCCUGGCUGGGAGGGAACAUUCCCACUGACCAUUCCAGCCUCUGCUGACCCCAGGGCCUUUCUGUGGCCACGGUCCUGGCUGUAAGUGCAUGCACAGUCCUGGGUAUCCUUCCAAGUGGAUGUGUGGGCCCUGUGUGUGUAUUUCUGGGCACAGAAGACUUUCAGGGUACUUGAAUCUUGAAUCUGCCAUUUUCUGGCUGUGCGGUCCCAGGCAAGGACCUUACUCUUUCUGGGCCCAGUUUUGUUUGUUUGUUUGUUUUGAAACAGGAUCUCCCUCUGUUGCCCAGACCGGAGUGCAGUGGCAUGACCAUAGCUCAUUACAGCCUCAACCUCCCAGGCUCAAGUGAUACUCCCACCUCAGCCUCCCGAAUAGCUGAGACUACAGGCACACACCACCAUGCCCGGCUAAUUUUUUUAAAAAAUUUUUUGUAGAAAUGGGGUCUUGCUAUGUUGCCCAGGCUAGUUUUGAACUCCUGGGCUCAAGUGACCCUCUCGCUUUGGCCUCCCAAAGUGCUGGGAUUAUAGGCAUGAGCCACUGCCCCAGGCCUCUUGUCUGUAAUAUGAGCCUAGGCUGGCACCAGACAGGAGUAAGAGUAACUUUUACUAUUUGAUGUAAAGCCAAGCACUUGGCAUGGGUUAACAGCUUCAGUCCUCGCUAAGAAAUGAGGAGACCAAGGCACAGAAAGUAAAGCGCACAGUACAGGACCCGAUCACAAAGGCCAAAAGGCAGCCAGGCCUGGCUCCCAGGGCCAUGUGCUGGCUCCCCACACAGAGAAUGUCAGCCGUGUGUGCUCUCAGCACUCUCCUGAUACUGAGGAUGAGAGGCACACAUUACAUUUGGGGACUUUCUUUUUUUGGGGGAGAGACAGAGUCUUGCUCCGUC
rnacentral:lncRNA from 10 species